rnacentral:rRNA from 1 species
UGAGGAAUUUUGCGCAAUGGGGGAAACCCUGACGCAGCAACGCCGCGUGAGUGAUGAAGGCCUUCGGGUCGUAAAGCUCUGUCAAGUGGGAAGAAUCUGUCCGGUGAUAAUACCGCUGGGCAAUGACGGUACCGCUGAAGGAAGCACCGGCUAACUCCGUGCCAGCAGCCGCGGUAAUACGGGGGGUGCUAGCGUUAUUCGGAAUCAUUGGGCGUAAAGGGCGCGUAGGCGGUCUUUUAAGUCAGAUGUGAAAGCCCUCGGCUUAACUGAGGAAGUGCAUUUGAUACUAAAAGACUUGAGUAUGGGAGAGGGAAGCGGAAUUCCUGGUGUAGCGGUGAAAUGCGUAGAUAUCAGGAGGAACACCGGUGGCGAAGGCGGCUUCCUGGACCAAUACUGACGCUGAGGCGCGAAGGCGUGGGGAGCAAACAGG